UUAAACCGGCGGUUGAGUUAACCGGCGGUUGAGUUUUAACCGGUGGUUGAGUUAACCAGCGGUUGAGAUUUAACUGGCGGUUGAGUUAACCAGCGGUUGAGAUUUAACCGGCAGUUGAGAUUAAACCGGCGGUUGAGUUAACCGGCGGUUGAGAUUUAACCGGCGGUUGAGUUAACCAGCGGUUGAG
rnacentral:sRNA from 1 species